UACGUAGGGGCUAGCGUUAUCCGGAAUUACUGGGCGUAAAGGGUGCGUAGGUGGUUUCUUAAGUCAGAGGUGAAAGGCUACGGCUCAACCGUAGUAAGCCUUUGAAACUGGGAAACUUGAGUGCAGGAGAGGAGAGUGGAAUUCCUAGUGUAGCGGUGAAAUGCGUAGAUAUUAGGAUGAACACCAGUUGCGAAGGCGGCUCUCUGGACUGUAACUGACACUGAGGCACGAAAGCGUGGGGAGCAAACAGGAUUAGAUACCCUGGUAGUCCCUGA
rnacentral:rRNA from 1 species